rnacentral:rRNA from 1 species
UCUUGGAGAGUUUGAUCCUGGCUCAGGACGAACGCUGGCGGCGUGCUUAACACAUGCAAGUCGAACGGAGAGAGAUGGAAGCUUGCUUCUAUCAAUCUUAGUGGCGAACGGGUGAGUAACGCGUAACCAACCUGCCCUUCAGAGGGGGAUAACAACGGGAAACCGUUGCUAAUACCGCGUACGAAUGAACUUCGGCAUCGGAGCUCAUUGAAAGGUGGCCUCUA